AUAACACACAUUAAUUAUCCUUAGGGCCAUGGGAUAAACAAAAACAAGUUAGCACACCCUAGAAUGGUUCUAAAACGAUUACUAACCUAUGGCUCUUAUACUAGUUGAAGGGAAAAACUU
rnacentral:pre_miRNA from 1 species